rnacentral:tRNA from 1 species
GCCUGGGUGGCUCAAUCGGUUAAGCGUCUGACUUCAGCUCAGGUUGUGAUCUCGCGGUUCGUGAGUUCAAGCCCCGCAUCAGGCU